AUUGAACGCUGGCGGCAGGCCUAACACAUGCAAGUCGAGCGAGCGGCGGACGGGUGAGUAAUGUAUGGGGACUGCCUGAUAGCGGGGGAUAACUACUGGAAACGGUGGAUAAUACCGCAUACUCUCGUAUAACCCAUAGUGGAUUGGCUUGGAGGUGGGGUAACGGCUCACCUAGGCGCCGAUCCCUAGCUGGUCUGAGAGGAUGAUCAGAGACACGGGGACUUGUAUACGGCCCCGACUCGUACGGAGGCAGCAGUGGGGAAGAUUGCACAAUGGGCGCAAGCCUGAGGCAGCCAUGCCGCGUGUAUGAAGAAGGCCUUAGGGUUGUAAAGUACUGUCAGUGGGGAGGCGUUACCCGCAGAAGAAGCACCGGCUAACUCCGUGCCAGUAGCCGCGGUAAUAC
rnacentral:rRNA from 1 species